rnacentral:rRNA from 1 species
CGGUAAGGAGGCGGGAGUGACUUAGCGGCGGACGGGUGAGUAACGCGUGGGUAACCUGCCCCAUACCGGGGGAUAACGGUUAGAAAUGACCGCUAAUACCGCUUAAGCGCGCGAGGCCGCAUGGCCGUGCGCGAAAAACUCCGGUGGUAUGGGAUGGGCCCGCGUCUGAUUAGGUAGUUGGCGGGGUAAGGGCCCACCAAGCCGACGAUCAGUAGCCGACCUGAGAGGGUGGCCGGCCACAUUGGGACUGAGACACGGCCCAAACUCCUACGGGAGGCAGCAG